GGCCGGUCGAUGUCAACUGUGCGAUGUGUGAGCCCUUGAGCGCUGUGGCUGUGCCGCGAGCUAACGCGUUAAGUCGACCGCCUGGGGAGUACGGCCGCAAGGUUAAAACUCAAAUGAAUUGACGGGGGCCCGCACAAGCGGUGGAGCAUGUGGUUUAAUUCGAUGCAACGCGAAGAACCUUACCUAGUCUUGACAUCCACAGAACUUUCCAGAGAUGGAUUGGUGCCUUCGGGAACUGUGAGACAGGUGCUGCAUGGCUGUCGUCAGCUCGUGUUGUGAAAUGUUGGGUUAAGUCCCGCAACGAGCGCAACCCUUAUCCUUUGUUGCCAGCGCGUAAUGGUGGGAACUCUAAGGAGACUGCCGGUGAUAAACCGGAGGAAGGUGGGGAUGACGUCAAGUCAUCAUGGCCCUUACGAGUAGGGCUACACACGUGCUACAAUGGCAUAUACAAAGAGAAGCAAACUCGCGAGAGGAAGCGGACCUCAUAAAAUAUGUCGUAGUCCGGAUCGGAGUCUGCAACUCGACUGCGUGAAGUCGGAAUCGCUAGUAAUCGUAAAUCAGAAUGCUACGGUGAAUACGUUCCCGGGCCUUGUACACACCGCCCGUCACACCAUGGGAGUGGGUUGCAAAAGAAGUAGGUAGCUUAACCUUCGGGAGGGCGCUUACCACUUUGUGAUUCAUGACUGGGGUGAAGUCGUCAAGGGGUAACCAAACCGGGGGAGGCCCCGGCGG
rnacentral:rRNA from 1 species